CUGGACUGGCAUCCCUGUUAAUCUUUAUAAAUGUUUCCAUUAUGUUAGCAUUCAUGAAGAACCACCAUGUGAUUCAUUUUGCCAAAUAGCAGAAUCUGUUCAACACCUACGAUGUCCACACCAGCAUUUGAUGGCAUCACCGGCUGGCUCAGCCUGGCCUCUCUUAGAACCGUCAAGAGGGCCAGAUUUAGAAGAAAUAUUACUUCAGCUCUCAAGAUGGAAAAACAUCUCGCCAGGAGGCAGAGACUCUGGAAAAUUGCUAAUAAAUUGUUACUGCCUGCUAUUAAAAGGAUCGAUAAGAUAAGGCCACAAAUGACGGAUGGGAGAGCCUUGUGCUUUGAGUACUAAUGGAGGACGUGGCGCCCAACAGCUCAGAGCAAAAUCUUGCUGGAGCAGCGCAUGCCCAUUCACCUUCAGCAAAAAUCUCAGCUCAUUCAUCGCCCUGCAGAUCAGUAGUAAUUGACAGUGGUUAUGAAUAAUUAAAAGACAGAUGAACCUCA